CUUGGGUGUUGCUAGUGGGUCCGCUUCCUGUGUGAUAUUUGGGGGGCCUCUUUCUCCACUUCCAACAGGAAGGCCCCCUCAUUUGGGAUGCUCCGAGCUUCCUGAGUUCGCUGUUGACUUCCUUCCCUUUCCCUGCACGCUUGCCUGGUUCUCUCCUAUGUUGUUCAUGGUGUGGCUCUCGGUCACUCAGGUGCCCUCAGGUGACCCACAGGCCUGUGAGCACUGAGGUUUUUUUUGCACUUCCUGCUCUGCUUCUGGGAGACACUGGGGCAAGGAUGGGAAGAGCUGGUUCCUCCUGGGGCAAUGACGGCUCUUUACGGCAGGGGCUGGUGCCAACUUUGCCUCUCUGGACAUGGGUGUGGUAGACCGUGGUCUGUGUGGCUGCCGAAGGCAGGGAGGUUCAUCCAGGCAGCCCACAGUUCAUGUCACCACGGAGGUCCUGGUGAGCACCUCCCACCACCGGGUGCACGUGAAGCCACUGUGAGGUUAGUUCCAAGUCAGCAGUCGACCAGGUUUAUUUUUAGAAGCUGGAGCUCAUCUUAAAGGCACUGAGCUCUUUUCCUCUAAGAAGUGGAGGUUGAUGUGCAAGCUGGUUGUGACAGCUGGGGACAGUUUAUUUUGUGGCCGUCAAGAACAAUAAAGUGUAACUGAGGCCCAAAAGUAUUUUUUUUCCAUUUCCUAAUAUUUCUGCUGUCUCUGAAGAUGUUACAUUUGGUUGGGAAGAAAGAGCCUCUGUAGUGUGAGAAUUUGUUUUUUACAAAGAGCGUGUCAAUAAAAUUUGCCUAAGAAAAGCUUUGAAAUAUGCAGAGCAAACUGCCAAACCCCAGGAAUUUAUGAAAAGGUGUGUACUUUGGCUGCUGGGUUAUUAUGUAUUUUGGCUGCUGGUUAUAGCACCGGGAUCGGGUUACAUGGGUCUAUGAUUUGGAUUUGGGGAGGCAGCAGGUGACCCCACGCUCAGCUCCCUCUCACCUUGCUGUGUCCCCACAGGCCACCUGCAGCCCCUCCACCUCCCACUCAGCUUCCCCACUUCAUAGCUCAGUCCUCCCCCACCCUGGGGCUCAGGGUCCUGGCUUCUGCUGGCCUGGUCAGCGUCUCUGCUUCUAGGGUCUUCUCACAGACUGGGGAGGUCCGUGGGGCCCCAGUCCUUCUGCAGAGGCCACAGCACUGGGUUCCUGUCUGUUGCACAUCCUCCUGGCCCCGCUCCCAGGUGGAGGGUGGCCCGGCCUCCGUUACCCUUCCUGAAAGGUUUGUUCUGGGGAGAAGGCAAGGACUAAGGCAUCUCCCCUUCUGCCCCAGCACAUCCUGGAGCUGGAAGCCAUGCUGUAUGACGCCCUGCAGCAGGAGGCCGGGGCCAAGGUGGCUGAGCUGCUGUCGGAGGAAGAGCGCGAGAAGCUCAAGGUGGCCGUGGAGCAGUGGAAACGCCAGGUUAUGAGUGAGCUGCGCGAGCGGGAUGCCCAGAUCCUGCGGGAGCGCAUGGAGCUGCUGCAGCUGGCUCAGCAGAGAAUUAAAGAGUUAGAAGAAAGAAUAGAAGCUCAGAAGAGACAAAUAAAGGAACUGGAGGAAAAGUUUUUAUUUUUGUUCUUAUUUUUCUCCUUAGCUUUCAUUCUCUGGUCAUAGUCCAUCUUGGCACCCUAACGUGCCCCACGUUGAAUUGGACCCUUUUCCUCCAGUGGGACCUGAGAGCAGGGACAAAACGGGAUGUCGAGUCUCCAUCCUGAAGACCCAGGGGGACUUGGUUUCUGCACGCCCGUCCCGUGGAGGAAGAGUGAGAAGGGGCAGCAUGUGCAGCGCAAGCUGCCGUCCGCGUCGAUGCGCCAGAACUAGAACUGGCUCUGCUGACUCUCGGGGGCUUCUCUGGGAGAGUCCAGGCCUUGGCUGCUGGACCCUGGUCCCUCCUCCCGGACGGCAGUCCCCAUCCCAGUUCCAGGGAUGUGCAGCAUUCCCUGCCAAGCAGGGGUGAGAACUGCUUCUGUGCGAAGCACCAGCCUUGGGUCCUCUCCUCUCUCUUGGUCCUCACAGUAGUUGCCACCGGUGUCUGGAGGAAGAUUUUCAGAAACAACAGAGGCGUGACCCAGUGACAAGAUGAAGGCUGUGACUGAGCCGCCUGGAUGGUAACCUUCAUUCAAGGAGGCUCCCUGGAUGGUCCUGGGAGGGCUCCCCGACACCUCAGUGGCCCCUCCAAUGCUGCAAUGUGUUGCUGGAGUCCUGAACACCCACUGGCCAACAGACCCCACACCCACCCUCCUUCAUCGUCAUCUCUGUGGGGACAGACAAGAGCCGUGGCCGCCGUGGGCCACGGGGUGCCCUCAACCCUCUGCCUUCCUACCCAGCCUGAGACAGGAAGGCCGCCAGCUGGGAGCACCACGGGAUUGAUCCAAGGAAGGCGUGGGGAGCGUGGUGACAGGAGAUGGGACGAGGGGGCAGAGCCAGCUGGAACAUGGAUGCCAGAGGCUGCCUCCGUAGUGCGUCUCCAGAAGUCACAGAGGCCCUGAGCGCCCAGAGCCACCCGAGCCACCUGGCCUGGAAGCCCCUGCGCAGGCCAGACCUGCAGGCCAUGGACCCCAGCAGGAACUGAAGCCUCACCCCAAGUCUUCGCACACAAGGAGCAGCCCAGGUGAGGGACGGCGGACGCACCUGUGGCUCUACUGGCGCAAGAAGGGAACCGUGGUCCAAGAAGCUGACAGGUAAGGGCUGCCAUCUGUCCACAGGGACGGCCUUUUCCCUCCCACCCUGUGUGGUGACCCUGCACAAGCUGACACACCCCCUUCCUGGCCUGCUAAUUCUGCUUAGAGAACUCAGCCCCAUUUGAGAUGAGAAUUAAAUUUGCUGGCGCACCCUCCCUGUGAGGUGAGCCCCAGCUUCUCCUGCACACCUCUGUGUCCCAGUCUGCACAUGUGUGGUUCUGCCACCCCCUCCACUGCUGACCGUCAAGAUCACCUCUCCCGUCACGCAUGGGACAGGGCCUGGGGGCUCGUGUGGACUGUGGCCUGAGCUGUUGCUGGGGGCAGGGUCUGCAGACACGGUGCCCCACAGGGACCUGGCAUCUGGCACGGCUGGCCGUCCUCCCGCUUGCGGGAAGAGGCUUGCAGAAAAGGGAGAAACCCUGUAGGUGCGUUGAGGCUGCUCUCCGAGUGCACCCCCUUCUGCUGCUCCCGUGCACUUGACCGUGAGCGCCAUCCCUCACUCGGACCCAGCACCUGAGGUGUCCACUCUGGGGAGGCGACUCUGGUUGCUCCCAGCAGGGAAGGAGGUCAGGACUGGGCGGGGCAUAUGCUCCACCAUGGAGCUUUCCUUGCCAGCGGGGUUCCCUACAGUAGAGUUUGAAGAUCGGUUGUGUCUGUGGGGCUCUGGGGCAGGGUGAGCUGGUUCUUGGGGAGGCAGUGGCAGCCCCAUGGGGGGCUGCCCAGAGAACGCUCCACCUCCCUCACCUCUGACCCACACCUAUAGGGUCCAGCCCUAUGGGGCUUAGUGGGUGUUCUCCCCGCGUGUGGAGAUGAGAGAUUGUAAGAAAUAAAGACACAAGACAAAGAGAUAAAGAGAAAACAGCUGGACCCGGGGGACCACUACCACUAAGACGUGGAGACCGGUAGUGGCCCUGAGCGGCUGGGCACGCUGAUAUUUACUGCAUACAAGAACAAGGAGGCAGGGUAAGGAGGGUGGAUCUUCUAAGUGAUUGACAAGGUGAAGCAAGUCACGUGAUCAUAGGACACGGGGGGCCCUUCCCUCUUAGGUAGCCGAAGUAGAGAGGGAGGGCAGCAUACGUCAGCGUUUUCUUCUCUGCACUUAUAAGAAAGAUCAAAGACUUUAAGACUUUCACUAUUUCUUCUACUGCUGUCUACUACGAACUUCAAGAGGAACCAGGAGUAUGGGAGGAACAUGAAAGUGCACAAGGAGCAUGACCGUCGAAGCAUAGCACCACAGGGAGGGGUUUAGGCCUCUGGAUGACUGUGGGCAGGCCUGGAUAAUAUCCAGCCUUCCACAAGAAGCUGGUGGAGCAGAGUGUUCCCCAACUCCUCCAAGGAAAGGAGACUCCCUUUCACGGUCUGCUAAGUAACGGGUGCCUUCCCAGACACUGGCGUUACCACUUGACCAAGGAGCCCUCAAGCGGCCCUUAUGCGGGCGUGACAGAUGGCUCACCUCUUGUCUUCUUUGUCACUUCUCACAAUGUCCCUUCAGCACCUGACCCUAUGCUCGCCGGUUAUUCCCAGGUUAUAUUAGUAAUGCAACAAAGAGUAAUAUUAAAAGCCGAUGAUUAAUAAUGUUUAUAAUAAUGAUUGAUAAUUGUCCAUGAUCAUCUCUAUAUCUAAUAUGUGUUAUGACUAUUCUUAUUCUAACUAUUUUCUUUAUUAUACUGAAACAGUUUGUGCCUUCAGUCUCUUGCCUUGGCACCUGGGUAAUCCUCCACCCACACAAACCCUGUCCGAGAGCCAGCUGUGUCUCCUGCAGUGGGCAGCGGCCAUGGGCCACAGGCACUGUUGUUCCUGGGAGAUGCUCCCCUGCAUAGAAAAUGGGAGGGGGAGGAGGAGGUGCGACCACCACCCUCAGCUCAGGAGUGGGCAGCAGCUCCGUCUUCACCCUCGACUCAGGAGGGGCAGUGGCGAGGAGGAGGUACGAGGGGGGCAGCGGCUCCAUCUUGCAGGUCCCCUGGGGCACGUUCUCCAGGCACAUUGUGGAUAAGGCAUCGUCCUUGUGUGGGUCAGGACCUGGGUACCAGGCAGGAUCUGGUUCCUGCCUCCCCCAAGUGUGCCCAGGCAUAGCCUCAGGCCAGAAAGUUCUCUGCAGGGGUUCAUUCUAGAAGGAGUGGGAGGUCAACAGCCCCAGCCCUGUCCAAGGACACCCGCUGCUUGGCACAGGAGGGCACUACAGGCCCACCAGCCCUCAGGACACGGCUCCCACAUCCCCAGGGACUUCUGCUCCCACAGCAAAAGCUGGAGCUCCAAGCAGGGCAUCUCUAAUUGUGCGGCAAGGACAGCGCAGCUAGAGGUUGGGAGCUCCACUGCCUCCAGGGUCCCCAGAGGGUGGUGGGGGGCAGUGAACACCCCACAGCGCAGCGACACACACGGUGUGGACAUACGCACGACCCCGUGGAGGCUUCCCGGCUGCCUCACUCCCACCCCCUGUGGACCAGGCCUCACAGCGGGGGCAGGUGGACCAUCCAGGCCAUGCUGAGCCCCAAGCAGUUCCCCACAACAGGUCACAGAGAGGACUCCGGGCUAGGAGAAGGGGGCCUGGGGAGCAGGGUCCCCCCACAGCUGCCCUCAGUGACAUCUGGGACGUGGACAUGAGUGGACGACGUCCCUGGAUAGAGCCAUUUCCUGGGUACUGGAGCUGGAGGUGACUCGGAGCUUCUGCUCCCAGCGUGUGCCCGUGGGGUGGUCAGAGUAGACAGGCCGCACCGUCAUCAGGGAAGGGCAGCUGGCUAGCAAUGUGCAGACUGUGCCUCAAGCCCGUGGGCACAGUGGGAACAGAGGUGGGCAGGUGCUUCUCCACCUGGGGGCUGACAAGCUACAGGCACAUCAUGGACAAGGCAUCUGUGCGGCUCCGCGGGGAAGACCGCUCUCCUCGGCCAGGGGGACAAGGCAUCUGUGUGGCUCCGUGGGGAAGACCGCUCUCCUCGGCCAGGGGGACAAGGCAUCUGUGCGGCUCCACCCGGAAGACCGCUCUCCUCGGCCAGGCCCGCCAGCCUCCCGGGAUCAGGGAGCGAACCUCGAACACUAGACCCGGCAGGAAAACAUACGUGAGCCAAUGGGCCCCAAGCCGUUGUGUUGCACCAGGCGGAGACCUCAGCCCCAGAUGCUCACCCAGGGCUGUCGCCCAACCCUGCAACUACCCGGAGGGGUGGGGAGACCUGU